GUGAUAGCGAGUCGAGAUGGUGGGGAAGUAGGGGGGAUCCAAGCGUUUGAGGGAUGCAUUGGGUUGAAAGGGUCCGGAGGCGGCCUUAUAAGUCAGUGGUGAAAGCCCAACGCUUAACGAGGGAACGGCCAUUGAUACUGGAGGUCUUGAAUUUUUGUGAAGUAACUUGUAUAUGUAGUGUAGCGGUGAAAUGCUUAGAUAUUACAUGGAAUACCAAUUGCGAAGGCAGGUUACUAACAAACAAUUGACGCUGAUGGACGAAAGCGUGGGGAGCGAACAGGAUUAGAUACCCAAGUAGUC
rnacentral:rRNA from 1 species